rnacentral:rRNA from 1 species
UACGGAGGGUGCAAGCGUUGUCCGGAUUUAUUGGGUUUAAAGGGUGCGUAGGCGGCUUGAUAAGUCCGUGGUGAAAGCCAACAGCUCAACUGUUGAACUGCCAUGGAUACUGUCAGGCUUGAGUACAGACGAGGUAGGCGGAAUGGAUCGUGUAGCGGUGAAAUGCAUAGAUACGAUCCAGAACACCGAUUGCGUAGGCAGCUUACUAGGCUGUAACUGACGCUGAGGCACGAAAGGCGUGGGGAGCGAACAGG